rnacentral:rRNA from 1 species
UACGAAGGGGGCGAGCGUUGUUCGGAUUUACUGGGCGUAAAGGGCGCGCAGGCGGUCUUGAAAGUCAGGCGUGAAAGCCCCGGGCUUAACCUGGGAAUUGCGCUUGAUACUCUGAGACUGGAGUACGGGAGAGGAGAGUGGAAUUCCCAGUGUAGAGGUGAAAUUCGUAGAUAUUGGGAAGAACACCAGUGGCGAAGGCGGCUCUCUGGACCGUAACUGACGCUGAGGCGCGAAAGCGUGGGGAGCGAACAGG